UACAUAGGGGGCGAGCGUUAUCCGGAAUUAUUGGGUGUAAAGGGUGCGUAGACGGGAUCUUAAGUUAGUAGUGAAAUCCCCUGGCUCAACUGGGGAACUGCUACUAAGACUGGGAUUCUUGAGUACUGGAGAGGAAAGUGGAAUUCCUAGUGUAGCGGUGAAAUGCGUAGAUAUUAGGAGGAACACCAGUGGCGAAGGCGACUUUCUGGACAGAAACUGACGUUGAGGCACGAAAGUGUGGGUAG
rnacentral:rRNA from 1 species